rnacentral:rRNA from 1 species
AUACGGAGGGUGCAAGCGUUAAUCGGAAUUACUGGGCGUAAAGCGUACGUAGGCGGUGAGUUAAGUUAGAUGUGAAAGCCCCGGGCUCAACCUGGGAACUGCAUUUAAAACUGGCUCACUAGAGUUGAGUAGAGGGGAGUGGAAUUUCAGGUGUAGCGGUGAAAUGCGUAGAGAUCUGAAGGAACACCAGUGGCGAAGGCGACUCCCUGGACUCGAACUGACGCUGAGGUACGAAAGCGUGGGUAGCAAACGGGAUUAGAUACCCUAGUAGUCC